CCAAAGCAAGUUGCAGUGAUAUAGACCCCUCAUUGAGGAGCAGGUGAUUAUAGGGCCUCUGAAGGACGCCUACAGGUUGAGAUCAGACACUGUGGACCAAACCAGAACCUUUCGUCUGGGAGUCACACAGCACAGCCUGGAGCCAUUACCCUGCCUCCGAAGUAGACUGAAACAACAUCGAGUAGGCCUAUUCCUAACCUCAGCACAACGAGCGUUUGGUUGAUCCCAGAGCAGCAACACGCACAGAAACCCGUCAGCCGGGAGAGGAAAGAUCCACCAUGAGACCACAAUACCAGCGGGAAGCUCUGCCUCGUCCAAUAUCGACUAAAUAGAUCAUUUCUUGCAGAAAGUAUUUUCUUGCAUAACUAAUAAAAAAAAA
ensembl:lncRNA